GAUGAACGCUGGCGGCGUGCUUAACACAUGCAAGUCGAACGGAAAGGCCCAAGCUUGCUUGGGUACUCGAGUGGCGAACGGGUGAGUAACACGUGGGUGAUCUGCCCUGCACUUCGGGAUAAGCCUGGGAAACUGGGUCUAAUACCGGAUAGGACCACUUCUUGGAUGUUGUGGUGGAAAGUUUUUUCGGUGUGGGAUGAGCUCGCGGCCUAUCAGCUUGUUGGUGGGGUAAUGGCCUACCAAGGCGUCGACGGGUAGCCGGCCUGAGAGGGUGUACGGCCACAUUGGGACUGGGAUACGGCCCAGACUCCUACGGGGGGCAGCAGUGGGGAAGAUUGCACAAUGGGCGCCAGCCUGAUGCAGCGAAGCCGCGUGGGGGAUGACGGCCUUCGGGUUGGAAACUCCUUUCGCUAGGGACGAAGCGUUUUGUGACGGUACCUGGAGAAGAAGCACCGGCUAACUACGUG
rnacentral:rRNA from 1 species